rnacentral:rRNA from 1 species
AGAACGAACGCUGGCGGCAUGCCUAACACAUGCAAGUCGAACGCUUCCGGGGCUUCGGUCGCGGAGGAGUGGCGCACGGGUGAGUAGCGCGUGGGAACCUGCCCUGUUGUGGGGGAUAACCGAGGGAAACUUCGGCUAAUACCGCAUGCGCCCGGGGAAACCCGGGGAAAGAUUUAUCGCAGCAGGAGGGGCCCGCGUCGGAUUAGGUAGUUGGUAGGGUAACGGCCUACCAAGCCUUUGAUCCGUAGCUGGUCUGAGAGGAUGAUCAGCCACACUGGGACUGAGACACGGCCCAGACUCCUACGGGAGGCAGCAGUGGGGAAUAUUGGACAAUGGGGGCAACCCUGAUCCAGCAAUGCCGCGUGAGUGAUGAAGGCCUUAGGGUUGUAAAGCUCUUUCGCCCGCGACGAUGAUGACGGUAGCGGGAGAAGAAGCCCGGCUAACUUCGUGCCAGCAGCCGC